rnacentral:rRNA from 1 species
GAUCAUGGCUCGGGAUGAACGCUAGCUACAGGCUUAACACAUGCAAGUCGAGGGGCAGCAUGUUGGUUGCUUGCAACCAAUGAUGGCGACCGGCGCACGGGUGAGUAACGCGUAUCCAACCUUCCGCAUACUCGGGAAUAGCCUUUCGAAAGAAAGAUUAAUGCCCGAUGGUUUCCCGAAUCCGCAUGAGAACGGGAAUAAAGAUUCAUCGGUAUGCGAUGGGGAUGCGUCCCA